AGUAAGCCAGACGAUCGCGGCUCAAUUUUGAGGUGAGGAAAGUCCGAGCACCACAGGGCAGGGUGCCGGGUAACACCCGGUGAAGGCGACUUCAAGGAAAGUGCAACAGAGAUAUACCGCCUGAAAAGGUAAGGAUGGAAAGGCGAGGUAAGAGCUCACCAACGGCAUGGCGACUUGUCCGUUCUGUAAACCCCACUCGGUGCAAGAUUGAAAUGAGAGCAUUAAAUAGCUGCCCGCUACGCUCUUUGUAAUCGCUUGAGCGGCACGGUAACGUGUCGCCUAGACAGAUGAUCGUCCUAUGACAGAACUCGGCUUACGGCUU
rnacentral:RNase_P_RNA from 1 species